rnacentral:rRNA from 1 species
CAUACGAGAUGUAGCCGUGACUGGAGUUCAGACGUGUGCUCUUCCGAUCUCCCGAAACCGAGUGAUCUAGCCAUGACCAGGUUGAAGUUGGGGUAAAACCCGAUGGAGGACCGAACCGACCCCCGUUGAAACGUUGGCGGAUGAGUUGUGGCUAGGGGUGAAAUUCCAAUCGAACCCGGAGAUAGCUGGUUCUCCCCGAAAUAGCUUUAGGGCUAGCGUCGAGAGAAGAGUUGCGUGAAGGUAGAGCACUGAAUAUGUGAUGGCCCCAUCUCGGGGUACUGAGCAUAAUCAAACUGCGAAUGUCACGCCAACAUGCUCGGCAGUCAGACAGCGGGUGAUAAGGUCCGUUGUCAAGAGGGAAACAGCCCAGACCAUCAGCUAAGGUCCCAAAAUGUAUGCUAAGUGGAAAAGGAUGUGGAGAUGUACAGACAACUAGGAGGUUGGCUCAGAAGCAGCCAUCCUUUAAAGAGUGCGUAACAGCUCACUAGUCGAAUGACUCUGCGCCGAUAAUUUACCGGGGCUAAGCAUACUACCGAAGCUAUGGAUCCCAAGGGAUGGUAGGGGAGCGUUCCAUGAACGGAGAAGUACGACCGAAAGGACGUGUGGAGAUCAUGGAAGAGAGAAUGCCGGUGUGAGUAGCGGAACGUGGGUGAGAAUCCCACGCACCGAAAACCCAAGGUUUCCAGAGGAAGGUUCGUCCGCUCUGGGUAAGUCGGGACCUAAGGCGAGGCCGAAAGGCGUAGUCGAUGGACAACAGGUAGAGAUUCCUGUACCCGUAUAUAUGUGAAGGAAUGACGGAGAGAGGAAGCUGCAGCCAGCGGCUGGAAGAGCUGGUGCAAGCGAGAUAUCGGGAUGGCAGGCAAAUCCACCAUCCGAAACGAGAAGGCGUGAAGCGUACGGAAAGCUACGGCGAGUACGGAAGGCAGUGGAGGAACUUCCAAGAAAAGUUUCUAACGUUAAGUAUAUAUGGCCCGUACCGAAAAUGGACACACAUGGGUGAGGAGAGAAUCCUAAGGUGAGCGAGAGAACUAUAGCUAAGGAACUCUGCAAAAUGACUCCGUAACUUAGGGAGAAGGAGUGCUCAUAGAGAUAUGAGCCGCAGUGAAACGGCCCAAGCGACUGUUUACCAAAAACACAGCUCUCUGCUAAGCCGCAAGGCGAAGUAUAGGGGGUGACGCCUGCCCGGUGCUGGAAGGUUAAGGGGAGGGGUUAACGCAAGUAAAGCCCUGAACUGAAGCCCCAGUAAACGGCGGCCGUAACUAUAACGGUCCUAAGGUAGCGAAAUUCCUUGUCAGGUAAGUUCUGACCCGC